AUUAUUAUUAUUAUUCAUAGGUUCGUCGCGAAUAUUCUCGAGUGUUAUGCUGUCGCGAGGAGGACAAGCGCUUCUUGCUAACGAAACCUUCGAACUCUGAAACCAGCAAAUCAGAAUCGAGAUCGAGAAGCCAUAUCGACAAUUUCAAGAACAAGAACCAAACAAUAAGUAGUUCAGUAGAUUCUAUAGGGACAAUAGAGAGCAAAAGAAACACGUUUGUGGUGCAUGUAUCAGAUGGUCAAGUGCGCGUGCGUGGAGUUGCUACAGAUGAGUACAACAGAAACCUAGUAAGAAAUCGCCUGCAAAGUGGAGAGAGUGUUUCUAGUUUUGAGCAGCCCCCAGGAGAGCAGCAUCGUGAUGGCAGCAGGCAUUCUACAGCAUCUGUAGCCAGUGAGGAAUCCGAAAAUGAGCAGAGCAAUGAAGUCAAUGAACAAGACACGCUAGCUGGAGAGAAUUAGAACUACACUGAUCUGUCUGUAUCUCUGCACACUGCUCAGGGCGUUCGCUUAUCACGCGUGAGCCGCGCGUGGGACCCCGUGGUAGUCGCGCGCUUUAGUGUGGUUUGAUGAGAUGCACAUACACGCACUGGCAAUUAUCAGUCGCUUGGUGCAGACACUCUCAAAUACAAGAUAUAAAUUUUGUUAAAACAGAUAGGACUUUCUCCAUGCAAUAUAAAAGCUGCGAAGCAAACGGACAUGGUUUAACCGAAUCUGAUUUGCUAAGGUGCACACCCGGAGAUAACCUUUCUUUACCUGAAUUCUAAAAUCGCGAGUGACUUGUACAGAAUGCAAAUUUCAGUUACAAUCAAAAUAGAGACCAGCAUUAAAAGUAAAUAUUGAAGACUAAGUUAACGGAUAUGUUAAGUACAGUUAGACCGACUAAUUCGAACUCGAUUAUUUUGAAUUCCCCAUUAUUUCGAAAUCAAAACGCUUUCCUUUGAAUUAACCUGCGAACAAGUGUUCUUUUAGGUUCGAUUUCCGCCGCUCUCUCUUGUCUGGUCUACGUUGCUUCUUUCUCGAACAGCGGCUGGUAAUCGAGCCUAAUGUUCUUUUUCGAACUAUGUUUCGUCAGCCCCGAGAGUUCAAAACAGCGGGAUUCAACUGUUAUUGGUUUGGUAAGUUAGAAAAACAAAAAUGGAGAGUUGUGAAGGAUUGGGGAACUACUAACGUUUUAAGAUGCACCGUUCGUUAGAUUUGAUACGUUAUAUAAUGCUCAGUGAGACAUAUGCAAAAAUGAAAUCCCCAAUCGCUACUGCAGUGCAAUAUCUAAAAUAUCCACCAAGCUGUACGUAUAAGUAUAACAAAAUAAGUUUCUUGGUAAUAUUAAAAACAAAAUAACAUGCGCUGCUGUUUAUACCAAACUGUGGCUAAAGAUUGACUUAAUUUAGUAGCAAAAUAAAUCGUAAACGAACUCA